rnacentral:rRNA from 1 species
AUUGAACGCUGGCGGCAGGCCUAACACAUGCAAGUCGAGCGAGCGGCGGACGGGUGAGUAAUGUAUGGGGACUGCCCGAUAGAGGGGGAUAACUACUGGAAACGGUGGCUAAUCCCGCAUACUAUCGGAUAACCCAUAUGGGAUUAGCUAGUAGGUGUGGUAAAGGCUAACCUAGGCGACGAUCUCUAGCGUGUCCGCGAGGAUGAUCAGCCAAACUGGGACGGAGACACGGCCCAGACUCCUACGGAGGCAGCAGUGGGGAAUAUUGGACAAGGGGCGCAAGCCUGAUGCAGCAAUGCCGCGUGUAUGAAGAAGGCCUUAGGGUUGUAAAGUACUUUCAGCGGGGAGGCGUUACCCGCAGAGGAAGCACCGGCUAACUCCGUGCCAGCAGCCGCGGUAAUUC